CACGUAGGGCGCAAGCGUUGUCCGGAAUUAUUGGGCGUAAAGAGCUCGUAGGCGGUCUGUUGCGUCCGCUGUGAAAACUCGGGGCUUAACCCCGAGCCUGCAGUGGAUACGGGCAGACUAGAGGUAGGUAGGGGAGAAUGGAAUUCCCGGUGUAGCGGUGAAAUGCGCAGAUAUCAGGAGGAACACCGAUGGCGAAGGCAGGUCUCUGGGCCACUACUGACGCUGAGAAGCGAAAGCGUGGGGAGCGAACAGG
rnacentral:rRNA from 1 species